GGGAGUCUCAGGCAUUCCAAAGUGAGGAAGUGGAUUCAGAUGUAGUAUCUGUGAGAAAGUACUGACAUGUAAAGGUGGAUAUACUGUUCAUCAGCAGAUGACUUGAAGUCAAAAGAAACGGAGACCAUUCAGUCAUUUCUACAGAUUUCCAAGCACGAAUGCUCUUAUGUUCAGCUGAGAAAAAUGAUGAACAAGCAGAAAAUACAGCAGCAAAGGACAAGGAAGAGAUGGCACACAUUUUAAGAAUGAAAUUUACUUAAUAAAUAUUCAGAUCAUUUCUAAGGGAUGUUACAUUUGGGAAUUCACUUUUCCAGUAUAGUACAGAUACUAGUACUUUGCUGGUAGAGGGUGGAGUGAAUCCCUUGUGUGAUUUGAACCAACCCUCUAAAGGUGAAACACCUUAUCACAGAACAACAUUGUUAGCAAUUUAACCUGACAAAUGUUAGUCAAGGUCUCGAUCAGAGAAGUGUAAAUGCCACAAUUACAAUUUUUUGCAAAGUUAUGCAAAUAAGAAUGUCAAAACUAUUUGGUUUAAUAAAUAGUAAUUAUUAAACUUA